rnacentral:lncRNA from 1 species
GCUAGAAGUUGAUUGUCACAAGACUCAUUAUAGGCAGUCAAUAAAACAUCUACCUUAUAUAUUCAUCUGUUCAUAUAUUUUCUUGUAUGCAUGCAUCAAUAUGCAGAGAAACUUAUGCAAGUUCCAUUUGAUAUAGAUAAAACCGCAUGCCCAUAAUUACAACGUCUAUGCACGAAUGCUAUCUCCAUAUAUAUACAGAUUUCAUUCAAAUAUGCUAUUAUGUAUAAAUCACAAAGCAAUUGGCAUCCACUUUAUAUAUGCAUUUAUUUUUUGCUUUUAUAAUACCUCCUGACUUGCAUAUGAUAUGCAGUCAAAUCCAUUCCAACCCAAACUUGAUAUAAAUCAAACCAAUUGAAAAUCAUGAAUUGACACUAAGAUGUGCAUGUGUAGCUCCCCACAAUUUAAAUGUAUCGAGAUUCAUACAUGAGAAAAUGCAUACACAUUGACUCUUUAAUGAAAAAUAGAAGAGUAUAUCUAGACAUACACUAAUUUAUUUAUGCAGCAAAGGAUGAUUCCAGACAUCUCACAUAAAUCACAAGUUGGCAUCUAUAGGGAUUUCGAGUUUAAUCAUGCCUUCACAAAUAUAUAAAAUAAACAAGCAUACUCGAAAUAGCAAAAAGCCCUAAUUCAUUAUGCUCCAACUCAUCGAACUAUAAUCACGCAUAUAGGAGAACAAUUAAUCAUGCAUGAAACAGUGAACUGAGUUACCUGAAUGCAUCAUUGGACCCGUGUUCGUCCACCCGAUUGCAAUUCCUCGGUUCCAAAUCAACGAAACAAAUUAUCCAUAAAUGCUCGAGACCCAUCCAUGCGGAUUGCCAUCACUCCCAAUUCCCAUGGACCUCAUACCAUUGCAGAUUAUCGAAGUAAAUCGCCAUUGUUACAGAUGCGCCGAACCAAAAUCAUCGCCAAAGCGAUGGCCAG